rnacentral:rRNA from 1 species
CGGGGGGAGCAAGCGUUGUUCGGAUUUACUGGGCGUAAAGGGCGCGUAGGCGGCCACCGCAAGUCGACUGUGAAAUCUCCGGGCUUAACCCGGAAAGGUCAGCCGAUACUGCGGGGCUAGAGUGCAGAAGGGGCAACUGGAAUUCUCGGUGUAGCGGUGAAAUGCGUAGAUAUCGAGAGGAACACCUGCGGCGAAGGCGGGUUGCUGGGCUGACACUGACGCUGAGGCGCGGAAGCUAGGGGAGCGAACGGGGUUAGAUACCCCGGUAGUCCUAGCCUUAAACGAUGAAUGCUUGGUGUCUGGGGUUCUAUAGUCCCCGGGUGCCGUCGCUAACGCUUUAAGCAUUCCGCCUGGGGAGUACGGUCGCAAGACUG